rnacentral:misc_RNA from 1 species
UUUCCGUAGGCGAACCUGCGGAAGGAUCAUUAUUGUAUAACCGAGGUGCGAGGGCUGUCCCUGACCCGAAAGGUCGUGCACGCCCGAGUGCCCUCACACACAUCCAUCUCACCCCUAUGUGCACCACCGCGUGGGUCCCCCUUUGGCUUGUUCGGAGGGGGGCUUACGUUUUCACACAAACUUUGUAUGCAGUGUAGAAUGUAUUUUUUGUUUUUGCGAUCACGCAAUCAAUACAACUUUCAACAACGGAUCUCUUGGCUCUC